rnacentral:rRNA from 1 species
GGCUUAGAGUUUGAUCAUGGCUCAGGACGAACGCUGGCGGCGCGCCUAACACAUGCAAGUCGAACGAAGAAAGCAAUAGUUUACUAGAGCUUUCUUAGUGGCGGACGGGUGAGUAACACGUGAAGAACCUGCCUUACAGAGGGGGACAACAGUUGGAAACGACUGCUAAUACCGCAUAACGCUUUUGAGAGGCAUCUCUUGAAAGCCAAAGGAGCAAUCCGCUGUAAGAUGGCUUCGCGUCCGAUUAGACAGUUGGCGGGGUAACGGCCCACCAAAUCUACGAUCGGUAGCCGGACUGAGAGGUUGAUCGGCCACAUUGGGACUGAGACACGGCCCAGACUCCUACGGGAGGCAGCAGUGGGGAAUAUUGCACAAUGGAGGAAACUCUGAUGCAGCGACGCCGCGUGAGGGAAGAAGGUCUUCGGAUUGUAAACCUCUGUCUUCGGUGACGAAAAUGACGGUAGCCGAGGAGGAAGCCACGGCUAACUACGUGCCAGCAGCCGCGGUAAUACGUAGGUGGCAAGCGUUGUCCGGAAUUACUGGGUGUAAAGGGAGCGUAGGCGGGGAGGCAAGUCGAUUGUCUAAACUAUGGGCUCAACCCAUAGUCGCGAUCGAAACUGUCUUUCUUGAGUGAAGUAGAGGUAAGCG